AACAAGAACAACAGCAAAGAAUAGGCAAAAAGCAAAAAUGCGCUACUUUUUGACCAGUUUUCGUUUGCGGCCAAUUUAACUUGUGAGCCAUAAAUUUGUGGUGUGCCUGGCUGCAAAACAUGCCCAGCAUUUGAUUUGACAUAUCAAUAAUUUACGAGCAUAACAAAAUUAUAGAGUACAGCGGCAGCCACAUCGACUGCAACAGCAACAACAACAACAACAACAACAAGACACCGGAACUGCUGCUGGCCGUAAUUACAAGCGAAAAUCGCUGCCACGUAAAGUGUCGAUCGUUGUCGAUGUCGACGUCGACGUCGAUUUCGAUUUCGAUGUUGAUGAAGAAAAAAAAA